rnacentral:rRNA from 1 species
AGAGUUUGAUCAUGGCUCAGAACGAACGCUGGCGGCAGGCCUAACACAUGCAAGUCGAGCGCGUCCCUUCGGGGGCGAGCGGCGCACGGGUGAGUAACGCGUGGGAACCUACCCUGGGGUAGGGGAUAACCGCUGGAAACGGCGGCUAAUACCCUAUACGUCCUGAGGGAGAAAGAUUUAUCGCCCUGGGAUGGGCCCGCGUCGGAUUAGCUAGUUGGUGGGGUAACGGCUCACCAAGGCGACGAUCCGUAGCUGGUCUGAGAGGAUGAUCAGCCACACUGGGACUGAGACACGGCCCAGACUCCUACGGGAGGCAGCAGUGGGGAAUAUUGGACAAUGGGCGCAAGCCUGAUCCAGCCAUGCCGCGUGAGUGAAGAAGGCCCUAGGGUUGUAAAGCUCUUUCGCCUGGGAAGAAAAGCCUGGU